rnacentral:lncRNA from 1 species
ACCCAUCCACUUUUGAUCUGGACCAUCCAUCGCUUUUAAUCUGGAUCGUCUGAUCGCGUUUAAAUAGGGAGUGAAUUUGGGUCGUUCAUCGAUAUUCAAUUUGGGUCGUCCGUGCGCAUGGGAACAGACCUUAGCCGUUCGAUCGUGCGCAUGCGAAUCGCCCACGUGGCCUCCCGCAUCAGCGUCUCUGCCACUUGGCGCGUCCUGGUUGGUCGAGGCUGCUGACCGGACAUUUGACGUGGUGUAAUUUUUCUAAAUUGCGUUUUGACUCUGGUUUUCGAUUUUUCUUUCAAAAAUACCCCCAGAACCCAAAAUUU